AACGUAGUGUUAAGGCGCCUAAAAAACGCUCAUGGGACACCAUGAAAGGCGUUGGUCGCUCAUGACAGCAGGACGGUGGCCAUGGAAGUCGGAAUCCGCUAAGGAGUGUGCAACGACUCACCUGCCGAAGCAACCAGCCCUGAAAAUGGAUGGCGCUGAAGCGUUUUGCCUAUACACUACCGUUACCGGCACGUGUGAUGCUAAAUUUUUAAUUUGGUAUCAUUAAGCCGUAACGAGUAGGACGUGCGCGACGGAGAGCGCAGAAGGGUCUGGGCGUGAGCCCGCUUGGAGCCUCCGUCGGUGCAGAUCUUGGUGGUAGUAGCAAAUACUCCAGCGAGGCCCUGGAGGACUGACGUGGAGAAGGGUUUCGCGUGAACAGUAGUUGCUCGCGAGUCAGUCGAUCCUAAGCUCAAGGAGAGAUCUUAUGUCGAUGUGGCGUGUUUUUUUAUAAUUUUUAAAAAUAAUGAAAAAUAACGCCCUUUGAGCGAAAGGGAAUCCGGUUCCUAUUCCGGAACCCGGCAGCGGAACCGUUUCAAUAAUCGUUCCCUCGUCUUUAAAAACGAGUGUUCGACGGGGUAACCCAAAGUGGCCUGAAGACGCCGCCGAGAGGUCCGGGAAGAGUUUUCUUUUCUGCCUGAGCGUUCGAGUUCCAUGGAAUCCUAUAGAAGGGAGAUAUGGUUCGGAACGCGAAGAGCACCGCAUUUGCGGCGGUGUCCGGAUACUCUCUGCGGACCUUGAAAAUUCAGGUGAGGGAUGUACGUGGAGAUGUCGCGCCGGUUCGUACCCAUAUCCGCAGCAGGUCUCCAAGGUGAAGAGCCUCUAGUCGAUAGAAUAAUGUAGGUAAGGGAAGUCGGCAAAUUGGAUCCGUAACUUCGGAAU
rnacentral:ncRNA from 1 species